AGAGAAGCAAAGUGAUGAGUAAUACUGGCUGGAGCCCCAAAGAGGCACAUGUGUGUGUGUGUGUGUGUGUGUGUUUGUGUGUGUGUAUCUUUAUGCUUGUCAGUGCAUGCACGUGUAUGUCUGGGAGUACAAAUGUGUGCGACUGGUGGUGGGGAACUAGCUAUGUGCCUUCUAUUAGGCCAUGACAGUUAAACUGAUAAGAUCUGAUUGCUUC
rnacentral:snoRNA from 1 species